AGAUUGAACGCUGGCGGCAUGCUUUACACAUGCAAGUCGAACGGUAACAGGCCGCAAGGUGCUGACGAGUGGCGAACGGGUGAGUAAUGCAUCGGAACGUGCCCAGUCGUGGGGGAUAACGCAGCGAAAGCUGUGCUAAUACCGCAUACGAUCUAUGGAUGAAAGCGGGGGACCGAAAGGCCUCGCGCGAUUGGAGCGGCCGAUGUCAGAUUAGCUAGUUGGUGGGGUAAAGCCCACCAAGGCGACGAUCUGUAGCUGGUCUGAGAGGACGACCAGCCACACUGGAACUGAGACACGGUCCAGACUCCUACGGGAGCAGCAGUAGGGAAUA
rnacentral:rRNA from 1 species